GGCUGGUUAGCUCAGUUGGUUAGAGCAUGUUGCUGAGAAUGUCAAGGUCCAGGGUUCAAUCCCUGAACCAGUCA